rnacentral:SRP_RNA from 2 species
GCCGGGUGUGGUGGCGCACACCUGUAAUCCCAGCUAUUUGGGAGGCUGAGGUGGGAGAAUCACUUGAACCAGGGAGGCGGAGGUUGCAGUGAGCCAAGAUCACACUACUGCACUCCAGCCUGGGCAACAGAGUGAGACUCCAUCUCAA